GAUGAACGCUGGCGGCGUGCCUAAUACAUGCAAGUCGAGCGAACAGACGAGGAGCUUGCUCCUCUGACGUUAGCGGCGGACGGGUGAGUAACACGUGGAUAACCUACCUAUAAGACUGGGAUAACUUCGGGAAACCGGAGCUAAUACCGGAUAAUAUAUUGAACCGCAUGGUUCAAUAGUGAAAGACGGUUUUGCUGUCACUUAUAGAUGGAUCCGCGCCGCAUUAGCUAGUUGGUAAGGUAACGGCUUACCAAGGCAACGAUGCGUAGCCGACCUGGGAGGGUGAUAGGCCACCCGGGAACUGAGACGCGGUCCAGACUCCUACGGGAGGCAGCAGUAGGGAAUCUUCCGCAAUGGGCGAAAGCCUGACGGAGCAACGCCGCGUGAGUGAUGAAGGUCUUCGGAUCGUAAAACUCUGUUAUGAGGGAAGAACAAAUGUGUAAGUAACUAUGCACGUCUUGACGGUACCUAAUCAGAAAGCCACGGCUAACUACGUG
rnacentral:rRNA from 1 species